CCAAGGGAGCUCAGGUGCAAGCAGUUCACCUGAGUGACUGGAAGGCACGGAGCCAGGAUCCAUCCCUACCCAGACUGCAUUUAAAAGCUGGCAAUAGAAGGGAGGAUAUCUCUUGCUGGAGAUCCCUGUAUGCUUGAGGCCUUCCAAGGUGAUUUCAGGACCAAGCAGAACUGAAGAUUCCAGCAGUAGAAAGACAAAAAUCCCCCCCCACCUCCUCCCGCAUCCUCAAAACUUGGGAGGUUGCUUAGUGACAGCGUUGCUGCUCUCUCACUCAUUCGGAGAACCUGAGCUCUUAAAAGCAAGAAAAUGGCUAUUUGAGGACCUGAUAGCUCGUGUUCCUCGAUGGCCCCUUCAGCCCACAUCAGCAGCAGGCAAUGAAUGAAGCAGCCUGGCCACUCCUCUCCUUUCUGCUGGCCAACUCCAUUUAUUUUUUUACUAUUAUUCUGCUGUUGUUAGGAUUGCUAUUCUGUGAUCCCAUUUAAAAUCAUUGAUUUACCACCGAGUCCUCAAUAAGCAAUUUGGAGCAAUUGGAGCUGU